AUUUAAAAGCAUAUUGUCUAUGGGAAUUGUAUGUGUCACUCACUUAUGAGAGCUAACAAGGAUCUGCGAACUGAAAUUGCUAAUAUGAGUAGCAUUGGCCAUGCAGAAAGUGGCGGAAACGAAAGGGUCACUACUUUCUUAGUUUAUACGCAAUUUUGUUUUUAUUUAUUUUUGAACAAAUUGUGCAGUGUUGCGUGAAGCAAACUUUUUAAUCAAAUUUUUUAACAAAAGGGAGAUUUGAGGACAUGUGCAGUGUGGAAAUGUGUGGAAGUGUGUUUCUGAAAUUCCAAGAAGUUUUCUUUCAAGUGAAGCAACAGAGAAUUUGUCGUCGGUACUUCAAAUAAAUCACAAAUGCAACUUUUAUUACGAAUACAAAUCCCUUUUGUUGCCACUGGUGUUCGCAGUGCCUUGCGAGGACGAAACUUUAGAGCCGCAGCAAUACAAAAACUCCACGUAUGAGGAGAGGUGGAAGUAGAAGGAGAAGGCGCAGCCGAAGUACACGUAGAAUAUAAGAAGCAAAAUGGGCAACACAUCGUAUUAGGCUUGUUGUGUGAUGCGUCAGAUUGCGACAACAUACACGCAUCUCCUCCCGAAGGAUUCGUAUUCGUAUAAGCAACAAAACAUAAUAAAAGUGCCUCUGCACAUUUCAGUCAAUUCUAAUGUGAAAGUACAUUAAGGAGCGCCUGUAUUACCCUCCAUCACUUGCCACUUGCCACUUACCACUUACCAUUUACCACUUUAAUUUCCAUUUUAGGCAUGUAAUCGACUCUUUGCCUGUAGUUGUGUUGUGUUGAGUAUUUUCAUUCACGAACACAGCCACAGCCACACACACUCAAAGUCAAGUGAAAAUAGUAAAAUAACAUUAAAAGUGACUUAAAAAAGAAGGAGAAUAUAGCGAAUUUCCGCAGAACAAAAAAAAGCAAAAGCAAAAGAAAAAAACACAAAACACAGAAAACACAGAAAACGACAAAAGCGCAA